rnacentral:snRNA from 1 species
AUCGCUUCUUGGCCUUUUGGAUAAGAUCAAGUGUAGUUAGUAUCUGUUCUUAUCCAUUUAAUGUCUGAUACAUCCUCUAUCUGAGGACAAUAUAUUAAACGGAUUUUUAGAAGUCUGAGUUGGAACAGGAGCUUUCUCCAUCCACUCCAUGAAUUGAUCUGGUACUGCAGUAUCUCCAGAAAUGGUACAACAAAU